AUUAAAUUCUUCAUAAUCCAGCUCCCUGUUCUGGACACUGUGCUCCAAUGUGCACAUGGAACAAGUUCAUCUUGUGUGCACAUUCUGUGGCAUAUAUGUGGUCCAUUGUAAUGAAUGGGGAUAAUCAAGCAGGUAAGAACCUGCCAGUGCAGUGCUAUACAUGUUUACUCGGAAGUAAGUCCCAUUGAAUUCAGUGAGACUUACUUCCAGAUCUGUGCUGAUAGAUUGCAGGAUUUAUGUUUGAGAUUGCAUGAGCCUAUGAUCACAGUAUCUCUUUCAUAAAAAUGAACAGUGAAAUAUGGUAAGCUUUCAUAUUUGUUUGAGAAAAUCUAAUGAUAUACUACCCUUCAAUAUUGCAAUUAAAGCUCGAUUGCUCUGGAACCCAGAAUGAAGAAGUAUUCUUAUUCUUUGGAAUUCUAGAGUAAUAGAGAGAAAGAUAGGAUCUCACAUCUUCUAUGACAUAUGCUCUGCCCAUUGCUCACAAAUGGUAAAUAGGGAUGUUCCAGUAAUAAAUGACAUUGUUUGCAAUAUUAUCAACACGAUGCAAAAUUCUCCAUUACUGAUUGCUGACCUUAAUUUUUUAAAAGGAAAAAAAAGGAAUUGUUUUGCUGUUUUAUUAUUAGCUGCCCUGGGCUCCUUUGGGAGAAAGGGCAAGAUUGAAAUUUAAUAAAUAAAUAACCCGAAAGGGACAAACCGUCCAAGACCAAGGAAGUAAUGUAAAUGAAAAUUAUACUCACUGUCAGGGGGGCA